UACGGGGGGGGGCAAGCGUUGUUCGGAAUUACUGGGCGUAAAGGGCGCGUAGGCGGUUUGCUAAGUUGAAUGUGAAAACUCUGGGCUUAACCCAGAGCCUGCAUUCAAUACUGGCAGGCUAGAGUUCUGGAGGGGAUAGCGGAAUUCCUGGUGUAGCGGUGAAAUGCGUAGAUAUCUGGAGGAACAUCGGUGGCGAAGGCGGCAUCCUGGACCGGUAUUGACGCUGAGGCGCGAAAGCCAGGGGAGCAAACGGG
rnacentral:rRNA from 1 species